ACAGUGGACGCGAGCAUCUGUGGCCAAGUUUUUAAGGGCGCACGGUGGAUGCCUUGGCACCAGGAACCGAUGAAGGACGUGGGAGGCCACGAUAGUCCCCGGGGAGCUGUCAACCAAGCUUUGAUCCGGGGGUUUCCGAAUGGGGAAACCCGGCAGUCGUCAUGGGCUGUCACCCGCUGCUGAACACAUAGGCAGUGUGGAGGGAACGAGGGGAAGUGAAACAUCUCAGUACCCUCAGGAAGAGAAAACAACCGUGAUUCCGGGAGUAGUGGCGAGCGAAACUGGAUGAGGCCAAACCGUAUGCGUGUGAUACCCGGCAGGGGUUGCGCAUGCGGGGUUGUGGGAUCUCUCUUUCACAGUCUGCCGGCUGUGAGACGAGUCAGAAACCGUUGAUGUAGGCGAAGGACAUGCGAAAGGUCCGGCGUAGAGGGUAAGACCCCCGUAGCUGAAACAUCAGCGGCUUGUUUGAGAGACACCCAAGUAGCACGGGGCCCGAGAAAUCCCGUGUGAAUCUGGCGGGACCACCCGCUAAGCCUAAAUAUUCCCUGGUGACCGAUAGCGGAUAGUACCGUGAGGGAAUGGUGAAAAGUACCGCGGGAGCGGAGUGAAAUAGUACCUGAAACCGUGUGCCUACAAGCCGUGGGAGCGUCGCGCAUCGAGCUUGCUCGGUGCGUCGUGACUGCGUGCCUUUUGAAGAAUGAGCCUGCGAGUUAGCGGUGUGUAGCGAGGUUAACCCGUGUGGGGAAGCCGUAGCGAAAGCGAGUCCGAACAGGGCGUUUGAGUUGCACGCUCUAGACCCGAAGCGGAGUGAUCUAGCCAUGGGCAGGUUGAAGCGGAGGUAAGACUUCGUGGAGGACCGAACCCACCAGGGUUGAAAACCUGGGGGAUGACCUGUGGUUAGGGGUGAAAGGCCAAUCAAACUCCGUGAUAGCUGGUUCUCCCCGAAAUGCAUUUAGGUGCAGCGUCGUGUGUUUCUUGCCGGAGGUAGAGCACUGGAUAGGCGAUGGGCCCUACCGGGUUACUGACCUUAGCCAAACUCCGAAUGCCGGUAAGUGAGAGCGCGGCAGUGAGACUGUGGGGGAUAAGCUCCAUGGUCGAGAGGGAAACAGCCCAGAGCAUCGACUAAGGCCCCUAAGCGUACGCUAAGUGGGAAAGGAUGUGGAGUCGCAGAGACAACCAGGAGGUUGGCUUAGAAGCAGCCACCCUUGAAAGAGUGCGUAAUAGCUCACUGGUCAAGUGAUUCCGCGCCGACAAUGUAGCGGGGCUCAAGCGUACCGCCGAAGUCGUGUCAUUCAUACACAUAUCCUCAACGGGAGUAUGGAUGGGUAGGGGAGCGUCGUGUGCCGGGUGAAGCAGCCGCGGAAGCGAGUUGUGGACGGUUCACGAGUGAGAAUGCAGGCAUGAGUAGCGAUACACACGUGAGAAACGUGUGCGCCGAUUGACUAAGGGUUCCUGGGUCAAGCUGAUCUGCCCAGGGUAAGUCGGGACCUAAGGCGAGGCCGACAGGCGUAGUCGAUGGACAACCGGUUGAUAUUCCGGUACCCGCUUUGAAACGCCCAGUACUGAAUCAGGCGAUGCUAAGUCCGUGAAGCCGGCCCGAUCUCUUCGGAGUUGAGGGUAGUGGUGGAGCCGAUGAACCAGACUUGUAGUAGGUAAGCGAUGGGGUGACGCAGGAAGGUAGUCCAGCCCGGGCGGUGGUUGUCCCGGGGUAAGGGUGUAGGACGUUGUGUAGGCAAAUCCGCACAACAUGUGUCUGAGACCUGAUGCCGAGCCGAUUGUGGUGAAGUGGAUGAUCCUAUGCUGUCGAGAAAAGCCUCUAGCGAGUUUCAUGGCGGCCCGUACCCUAAACCGACUCAGGUGGUCAGGUAGAGAAUACCGAGGCGUUCGGGUGAACUAUGGUUAAGGAACUCGGCAAAAUGCCCCCGUAACUUCGGGAGAAGGGGGGCCAUCACUGGUGAUCCGAUUUACUCGGUGAGCUGGGGGUGGCCGCAGAGACCAGCGAGAAGCGACUGUUUACUAAAAACACAGGUCCGUGCGAAGCCGUAAGGCGAUGUAUACGGACUGACGCCUGCCCGGUGCUGGAACGUUAAGGGGACCGGUUAGCUGCCUUUCGGGGUGGCGAAGCUGAGAACUUAAGCGCCAGUAAACGGCGGUGGUAACUAUAACCAUCCUAAGGUAGCGAAAUUCCUUGUCGGGUAAGUUCCGACCUGCACGAAUGGCGUAACGACUUCUCGACUGUCUCAACCAUAGGCCCGGUGAAAUUGCACUACGAGUAAAGAUGCUCGUUUCGCGCAGCAGGACGGAAAGACCCCGGGACCUUUACUAUAGUUUGAUAUUGGUGUUCGGUUCGGCUUGUGUA
rnacentral:rRNA from 1 species